ACAUCAACAUGCACCACUAGACGACACACGACGCGCGAACACAACUGAACUCGGUAAUUCUGAUGACCAGAAGAUACGCCGAAUGCAAAAAUGGAGCUUUAUGAAAAUCUCAAGACAUGAGAACACAUUAUGGUGGUAUACGUCAGAGAAGUGUGUUGCACGACGUACACGUAACACUGACACUUUCUGUUGGACUUUCACGAGGCCAAGUCACGAUAUGCUUAAUGACAUAUCACUGACUAAACUGAUAUCUAUGCAGUACCUUAUAUUUGGUGUGACAAUAAUCGACGCAUAUCCAUAGUUUAUUGAACAAAAUAUAUAUGAAAAUAGUCUUAUAUAACUGUAUAUAUUGUACAUAUCUGUCUGUUUAUAAAAAUAGUCUUAAGAGUUUGUAUAAUAAGCUGCGUUCACAUUUACACUUUACACUGGUUUAACUAAACUGGUAUAACAAAAACAGUUUAACGUGUAAGUGUGAACGCGAUCUUUUCACUGUACUGGUAUAGCUAAACCUGUAUAUGUACCUAAAACAGUUUAUAUAGCUAAACCUGUGUCUAUAGCUAAAACACUUCGGUAAAACAGUUUAAAUAGUAUGAACGGAAAGUGUUUCAGUUAAACCAGUAUAAGGCAGAAUGUUAUUGAUGUCAGUCAGGAUAAGCAUUAAGUGGUUUAGCAAGGUCCUAACAGACUCGAAGUCCGUUGUUUUGAUGUUUUGCGCAAGUGCCGAAAACUACACUUCUGAUUUACACAGAUAUAGCUGUUACACUUGUUAAACGCUCGCUAUUUCCAACGAAAAGUGUUUUGGCUAAACCAAUCCAGUUAAACCAGUUUCAAUUGAGUAAAUGUGAACACAGCUAUAUACGGUACACAAUUCUGAAUUGGUAACAAAUAGUCUUAUAGUUGUAUAUAUGUACAUGUAUAUAUGUAUUGACCUUCUAAAGCUAUUUUAUGUUUAUAGUUGUAGUUAUUGAUGUGUUAUCUCUUUUGUGUACAUUUUAAAAAUUGUAACUUGUAUGUAUUGUAUUUAACAUACAUGAUAUGACUUUUCUAAUCUAUGGAAUGGAAUUGUAUUGUUAAGUUAUGUUUCUGUUUAGCAGACGUAUUAUCAUGUUUAUUGUCCUAUCUAUGUAGAGCUUUGAAACUGAGAUGCGUGUUUUCCAAGUAGUGUGCCUUUAUUAUUAAAACAAAUUAUUUAUGAUAUUUUUUUAAUUGUCAAUCGAAGAUAAACAAUGCAGAGAUAAGAUCUUUGAUUAGGGUAACGGUUUCGCUUUACCCUAACCUGUUACUUAUUUCUUGCUUUUUGUUUGGUAAUAUCUGUGUUUUUGUCUUAUGUU